AAAGAAGAAGAAGAAGAAUGACGUUGAAUGCUGAAGAAAUGAAGAGGCUGCACUCCAGUUUCUAUAGAGAGUGGUCACAUCACUGGCUGUUUGUGCUUUUUCAGAUGUAAACAGACCUGAUGGAGGACACACACCGUCAUGAGAAAAUGAGUAAAAAAACUGACUCACUGAAGAGAAAAGACAAAGAACGUGUCACCUGCACUCAGUGUGGAAUAAGUCUGGCAAACAAACCCAAUCUCCGGCGUCACAUGAAGGUCCACACUGGAGAGAAACCAUUCACAUGCACACAGUGUGGGAAGAGUUUCAGUCAAUCAUCAAACCUUAAAAAACACAUGAGGAUCCACACUGGAGAGAAAACGCACAGAUGCGAUCAGUGUGGGAAAACAUUUUUGAUGGCUUCAUACCUGAAGAAACACCUUCAAAUUCAUACAGACGAGAAGCCUUAUGCAUGCUCUGUGUGUGGAAAGACUUUGAGACAUCAACGUAGUUUAAGAGAUCAUCAGAAGAUCCACACCGGUGUGGGAGAGUACAUGUGCUUUAAGUGUGAGAAGACUUUUUAUAGGGCUGAACAUUUGAAAAUACAUGAGAGGAUUCACACUGGAGAGAAACCGUACAUUUGUUCACACUGCGACACAAGAUUCAGAUAUUUAAGACAUCUGAAAACACAUGAGAAGAUUCACACGGGAGAGAAACCUUACAUGUGUUCACACUGCGAUUCAGACAGUUAAAAGGACUGAAAAUACACGAGGGGAUUCACACCAGAGA
rnacentral:lncRNA from 1 species